rnacentral:rRNA from 2 species
AGGUGGAAGUGCAGCAAUGCAUGCAGCUGACGAAUACUAAUCGGUCGAGGGCUUAACCUCAUAUA